AGAGUUUGAUUCUGGCUCAGAACGAACGCUGGCAGCGUGGAUUAGGCAUGCAAGUCGCACGGGAACCUGUGAAUUCAAGUUUUCGGACGAGAAUUCAUGGGGGAGAGUGGCGAAAGGGUGAGUAACGCGUGGGCAAUCUGCCCUCAAGUCUGGGAUAACUCCGCGAAAGCUGGGCUAAUACCGGAUGUGGUUAUCCGUCACAUGACGGGUGGAUCAAAGUUGGGGACCCUUCGGGGCCUAACGCUUGGGGAGGGGCCCGCGUCCCAUCAGCUUGUUGGCGAGGUAACGGCUCACCAAGGCAUACGGGUAGCUGGUCUGAGAGGAUGGUCAGCCACACUGGGACUGAGACACUGCCCAGACUCCUACGGGAGGCUGCAGUCGAGGAUCAUUGGCAAUGCGCGAAAGCGUGACCAUGCGACGCUGCGUGGAGGAUGACGGCCUUCGGGUUGUAAACUCCUGUCAUUCGGGAAAAAUCGUCCGGGCCCUAAUACGGUUCGGACCUGAUGGUACCGGAAGAGGAGGCCACGGCUAACUCUGUGCCAGCAGCCGCGGUAAUACAGAGGUGGCGAGCGUUGUUCGGAUUUACUGGGCGUAAAGGGUGCGUAGGUGGUUCCGUGUGUCGAAUGUGGAAGCCCACUGCCUAACAGUGGAACUGCAUUUGAAACUGCGGUGCUAGAGUACAGGAAGGGAGAGCGGAAUUCUUGGUGUAGCGGUGAAAUGCGUUGAGAUCAAGAAGAACACCGGUGGCGAAGGCGGCUCUCUGGAAUGGUACUGACGCUGAGGCACGAAAGCUGGGGGAGCGAACAGGAUUAGAUACCCUGGUAGUCCCAGCCGUAAACGGUGCGCACUUGGUGUGGGGAGUAUUGACCCUCUCCGUGCCGGAGCUAACGCGUUAAGUGCGCCGCCUGGGGAGUACGGCCGCAAGGCUAAAACUCAAAGAAAUUGAUGGGGGCCCGCACAAGCGGAGGAGCAUGUGGCUUAAUUCGAUGCAACGCGAAGAACCUUACCAGGGCUUGACAUGCAGCUGCAAGCCCGGUGAAAGCCGGGCCGCCUUCGAGGGUGCUGCACAGGUGCUGCAUGGCUGUCGUCAGUUCGUGCCGUGAGGUGUUGGGUUAAGUCCCGCAACGAACGCAACCCUUGUGUCUAUUUGCCACUCCUGUUCUGCAGGAAGCACUCUAGACAGACUGCCCGUACAAGCGGGAGGAAGGUGGGGAUGACGUCAAGUCAGUAUGGCCCUUACGCCCUGGGCUGCACACGUGCUACAAUGGCCGGUACAGAAGGAGGCAAAACCGCGAGGUGGAGCCAAUCCUGAAACCUGGCCUCAGUUCGGAUUGGAGUCUGCAACUCGACUCCAUGAAGUUGGAUUCGCUAGUAACGGCGCAUCAGCUACGGCGCCGUGAAUACGUUCCCGGGCCUUGUACACACCGCCCGUCACAUCAUGAAAGCCGUCUGCACCCGAAGUCACUGGGCCAACUCGCAAGAGGGGCAGGUGCCGAAGGUGUGGGUGGUGAUUGGGAUGAAGUCGUAACAAGGUA
rnacentral:rRNA from 1 species